GAUGAACGCUGGCGGCGUGCCUAAUGCAUGCAAGUCGAGCGAACGGACGAGAAGCUUGCUUUUCUGAUGUUAGCGGCGGACGGGUGAGUAACACGUGGAUAACCUACCUAUAAGACUGGGAUAACUUCGGGAAACCGGAGCUAAUACCGGAUAAUAUUUUGAACCGCAUGGUUCAAAAGUGAAAGACGGUCUUGCUGUCACUUAUAGAUGGAUCCGCGCUGCAUUAGCUAGUUGGUAAGGUAACGGCUUACCAAGGCAACGAUGCAUAGCCGACCUGAGAAGGGGAAGCCGCCCAGUGGGGGUGAGCGGCGACCCUGGGUCCGACGGACGGCCGAGAUAGCUACGCGAGGCAGCAGUGGGGAAUAUUGAAGGAGGGGCGCAAGCCGGAUGCAGAGACUCCGCGUGGGGGAUGACGGCCUUCGGGUUGUAGACUCUAUGCGCUAGUGACGAAGCUUAUUGUGACGGUACCUAGACAAGAAGCACCGGCUAACUACGUG
rnacentral:rRNA from 1 species